rnacentral:lncRNA from 1 species
CUUUUUAAGCAUUUCGUAAGAUUUUUAAACUUUAAAACACUUCAAAGUUUUAUUAUAGCAGAACUCAUAUUUCAAUCUAUACAAUCUACUGUAAGGGCUUGUUUGAUUCAAUGGUGGAAUUGGAAUGGAUAAUGGAAUGAGAAUGAAUUGGAAUGGUAAUUGGAAUGGCCCACUCCUCCAAGACGUUUGGUUUAUUUGUGGAUUUAGAAUUGGAAUGAGUUAUUCACAUUUCAUUAUUUGGUUCGUAUAAACUAAAAAAAUUAUAGAAUACUAUAAUACUAAUUUUACUCUCAAAUAUAAAUUUAUAUUAUUUAAAAUUUAUGAAAAAUAUAAUACUAUUCUCUAAUACGUUUUCCAAAAAAAAUAUCAAAUUUAUUUUUAAAAACUUUUAUUGAUGUGCAUUAGGGAUAGGGUUUUGAAAGAGGAUAGUUUUUUUUUUUUAAUGAGAAAUGGGUGAAGAGAAGGAGGGUGAGAUGGUCACAUGAGCUUCGAGAACUUAGUGGGCUUCCGAAAUGAAAUCUCAAUCCGGGCUAGAAGACUGGAAUCAAGUUGAAGGCUAAUGGGCCAUUUCCAUUCCAGUCCAGAAUAGAAAUCCCAAACCGAUUCAUGCUAACCAAACAAAAUUAACCGGAUUUGAUCAAACCGAUUUCCAUUCCAUACCCAAAAUGGAUGAACCAAACAAGCCAUAAAUUCAUGAUUUUAUUUCAAUUUAAUUUUAAGAAGAUAAAAACAGAAUAAAUCAUCAAAUACCUAUCUAUCAAUCUAUAUAUACCAAAAUUUUACUCUCUAUUUUUUUUUUGAGAGAUAGGUAGCAUGCUAUUCGUUUUGUUUAUUUUAUUUAAAAAUAAACUUAGCUGAAUAUAUGAAUCAACUAGAAUUCGAACUUUGCUCUUUGUCACUUGCUCUAAAAACGAUGGAUUAUAUAUACCAAAAUUUUACUAAUAAUUAUUAUUACUAGC